AACGUAGGAGACAAGCGUUAUCCGGAUUUACUGGGCGUAAAGGGCGUGUAGGUGGUUACGUAAGUCUGGCGUGAAAUUUCUCGGCUUAACCGAGGGAGGUCGUCGGAUACUGCGGGACUAGAGGACGGUAGAGGCGUGUGGAAUUCCGGGUGUAGUGGUGAAAUGCGUAGAGAUCCGGAGGAACACCAGUGGCGAAGGCGACACGCUGGGCCGUACCUGACACUGAGGCGCGAUAGCAUGGGGAGCAAACAGG
rnacentral:rRNA from 1 species